CACGUAGGGCGCGAGCGUUGUCCGGAAUUAUUGGGCGUAAAGGGUGCGUAGGCGGUUCGGUAAGUUUCGUGUGAAAUCUUCGGGCUCAACUCGAAGCCUGCACGAGAUACUGCCGGGCUUGAGUGUGGGAGAGGUGAGUGGAAUUUCCGGUGUAGCGGUGAAAUGCGUAGAUAUCGGAAGGAACACCUGUGGCGAAAGCGGCUCACUGGACCACAACUGACGCUGAGGCACGAAAGCUAGGGGAGCAAACAGGAGUUAGAAAACC
rnacentral:rRNA from 1 species